AUAGGAAUCGGCGCAAUACCAGCCAAGAUAAUAACGACGGCAAUGCCCAGCACCCAGCCAGGAUAAUUCGUAGAUAUAUAAUUUUUUUACACACCAAUGCCGCGUUCCAUGCCGAAUAUUGCGGUUUUUUGAUGAACAUAGAGACAAUGCUGAAUAGGAGGAUGCAAACCAUUAUAAUGGGAGCGAGAAAUCGCCACGUAAAUUGCCAAGAAGAGAAUCGCAAAUAUGGAAUAGUCGCGUUACUCACUUUUCGUGGCCAUAAACGAAGAUAACGGAGAUCAUUUCCAUC